rnacentral:rRNA from 1 species
UACAGAGGGGGCAAGCGUUGUUCGGAAUUACUGGGCGUAAAGGGCGCGUAGGCGGCCUUCUAAGUCAGACGUGAAAUCCCCCGGCUUAACCUGGGAACUGCGUCUGAUACUGGGAGGCUUGAGUAUGGGAGAGGGAUGUAGAAUUCCAGGUGUAGCGGUGAAAUGCGUAGAUAUCUGGAGGAAUACCGGUGGCGAAGGCGGCAUCCUGGACCGAGAUUGACACUGAUGAGCGAAAGCUAGGGGAGCAAACGGG